rnacentral:rRNA from 1 species
UACGUAGGGUGCAAGCGUUAAUCGGAAUUACUGGGCGUAAAGCGUGCGCAGGCGGUUUUGUAAGACAGGGGUGAAAUCCCCGGGCUCAACCUGGGAACUGCCAUUGUUACUGCAAGUCUAGAGUGCGGCAGAGGGGGGUGGAAUUCCGCGUGUAGCAGUGAAAUGCGUAGAUAUGCGGAGGAACACCGAUGGCGAAGGCAAUCCCCUGGGCCUGUACUGACGCUCAUGCACGAAAGCGUGGGGAGCAAACAGG